rnacentral:rRNA from 1 species
GAUGAACGCUGGCGGCGUGCCUAAUACAUGCAAGUCGAGCGAACAGACGAGGAGCUUGCUCCUUCGACGUUAGCGGCGGACGGGUGAGUAACACGUAGGUAACCUACCUAUAAGACUGGGAUAACUUCGGGAAACCGGAGCUAAUACCGGAUAAUAUUUCGAACCGCAUGGUUCGAUAGUGAAAGAUGGCUUUGCUAUCACUUAUAGAUGGACCUGCGCCGUAUUAGCUAGUUGGUAAGGUAACGGCUUACCAAGGCAACGAUACGUAGCCGACCUGAGAGGGUGAUCGGCCAAACUGGAACUGAGACAAGGUCCAGAAUCCUACGGGAGGCAGCAGUAGGGAAUCUUCCGCAAUGGGCGAAAGCCUGACGGAGCAACGCCGCGUGAGUGAUGAAGGUCUUCGGAUCGUAAAACUCUGUUAUUAGGGAAGAACAAACGUGUAAGUAACUGUGCACGUCUUGACGGUACCUAAUCAGAAAGCCACGGCUAACUACGUG